rnacentral:rRNA from 1 species
UGCAAGUCGAGCGGACCGACGGGAGCUUGCUCCCUUAGGUCAGCGGCGGACGGGUGAGUAACACGUGGGUAACCUGCCUGUAAGACUGGGAUAACUCCGGGAAACCGGGGCUAAUACCGGAUGCUUGAUUGAACCGCAUGGUUCAAUCAUAAAAGGUGGCUUUUAGCUACCACUUACAGAUGGACCCGCGGCGCAAUAGCUAGUUGGUGAGGUAACGGCUCACCAAGGCGACGAUGCGUAGCCCACCUGAGAGGGUGAUCGGCCACACUGGGACUGAGACACGGCCCAGACUCCUACGGGAGGCAGCAGUAGGGAAUCUUCCGCAAUGGACGAAAGUCUGACGGAACAACGCCCCGUGAGUGAUGAAGGUUUUCGGAUCGUAAAACUCUGUUGUUAGGGAAGAACAAGUACCGUUCGAAUAGGGCGGUACCUUGACGGUACCUAACCAGAAAGCCACGGCUAACUACGUGCCAGCAGCCGCGGUAAUACGUAGGUGGCAAGCGUUGUCCGGAAUUAUUGGGCGUAAAGCGCGCGCAGGCGGUUUCUUAAGUCUGAUGUGAAAGCCCCCGGCUCAACCGGGGAGGGUCAUUGGAAACUGGGGAACUUGAGUGCAGAAGAGGAGAGUGGAAUUCCACGUGUAACGGUGAAAUGCGUACAGAUGUGGAGGAACACCAAUGGCGAAGGCGACUCUCUGGUCUGUAACUGACACUGAAGCUCGAAAGCCUGGGGAGUGCACUGGACUAGAGAUCCUCGUCGUUCCCGCCGUGAACGACGAGUGUUCAGUGUGAGAGGGAUUUCCCCCCUUAGCGCUGCAGCUCACGCGUUUAGAACUACGCUCCGGGAGUACGCUCGCACGAGUCAAAUUCAAAGGAAGAGACGGCGGGCCGCACAAGAGGUGGAGCAAGUGGUGUAAAUCGAAGCAACGCGAAGAACCUUACCAGGUGUUGACAUCCUCUGACAACCCUAGAGAUAGGGCUUCCCCUUCGGGGGCAGAGUGACAGGUGGUGCAUGGUUGUCGUCAGCUCGUGUCGUGAGAUGUUGGGUUAAGUCCCGCAACGAGCGCAACCCUUGAUUUUAGUUGCCAGCAUUCAGUUGGGCACUCUAAGGUGACUGCCGGUGACAAACCGGAGGAAGGUGGGGAUGACGUCAAAUCAUCAUGCCCCCUAUGACCUGGGCUACACACGUGCUACAAUGGGCAGAACAAAGGGCAGCGAAGCCGCGAGGCUAAGCCAAUCCCACAAAUCUGUUCUCAGUUCGGAUCGCAGUCUGCAACUCGACUGCGUGAAGCUGGAAUCGCUAGUAAUCGCGGAUCAGCAUGCCGCGGUGAAUACGUUCCCGGGCCUUGUACACACCGCCCGUCACACCACGAGAGUUUGUAACACCCGAAGUCGGUGAGGUAACCUUUGGAGCCAGCCGCCGAAG